rnacentral:rRNA from 1 species
CCUACGGGAGGCAGCAGUGGGGAAUCUUGCGCAAUGGGCGAAAGCCUGACGCAGCCAUGCCGCGUGGAUGAUGAAGGUCUUAGGAUUGUAAAAUCCUUUCACCGGUGAAGAUAAUGACUGUAGCCGGAGAAGAAGCCCCGGCUAACUUCGUGCCAGCAGCCGCGGUAAUACGAAGGGGGCUAGCGUUGCUCGGAAUUACUGGGCGUAAAGGGAGCGUAGGCGGACAUUUAAGUCAGAGGUGAAAUCCCGGAGCUUAACUUCGGAACUGCCUUUGAUACUGGGUGUCUUGAGUGUGAGAGAGGUAUGUGGAACUCCGAGUGUAGAGGUGAAAUUCGUAGAUAUUCGGAAGAACACCAGUGGCGAAGGCGACAUACUGGCUCAUUACUGACGCUGAGGCUCGAAAGCGUGGGGAGCAAACAGGAUUAGAUACCCUGGUAGUCCACGCCGUAAACGAUGAUUGCUAGUUGUCGGGAAGCUUGCUUCUCGGUGACGCAGCUAACGCACUAAGCAAUCCGCCUGGGGAGUACGGUCGCAAGAUUAAAACUUAAAGGAAUUGACGG